rnacentral:rRNA from 1 species
UACGGAGGGUGCAAGCGUUAUCCGGAUUCACUGGGUUUAAAGGGUGCGUAGGAGGGCAGGUAAGUCAGUGGUGAAAUCUCCGAGCUUAACUUGGAAACUGCCGUUGGUACUAUCUGUCUUGAAUACCGUGGAGAUGAGCGGAAUAUGUCAUGUAGCGGUGAAAUGCUUAGAUAUGACAUAGAACACCAAUUGCGAAGGCAGCUCGUUACACGAAUAUUGACUCUGAGGCACGAAAGCGUGGGGAUCAAACAGG